GGGCCCAUAGCUCAACGGUUAGAGCACGGAACUCAUAAUUCCUUGGUUCUGGGUUCAAAUCCCGGUGGGCCCACCA
rnacentral:tRNA from 1 species